rnacentral:lncRNA from 10 species
CAGGCGCAUGUAAUCCCAGCUACUCAGGAGGCUGAGACAGGAGAAUCGCUUGAACCCGGGAGGCGGAGGUUGCAGUGAGCCGAGAUUGUGCCAUUGCACUCCAGCCUGGGCAACAACAUCAAAACUCUGUCUACUAAAUUGAAUAUCUGCACACCCUAUGAGCCAGCAAGUCCACUUCUAGGUUUACAGCCAACAGAAAUGCAUGCAGAUGUACCAAGAAACAAGUACAGUACUCAGCAGCCAUUGCUCUUUCCAUAUGUCCAUCAACAAGAGAAUGGAUGAAUAUAUGUUUAUAAAAUGGAGUGCUAUAUGACAAUGAAGGGGAAGCAAACUAUUAAUACCACUACACACAAUGACAUGAGUCUCGAGUCCAAGAAACCAGACCCGAGUGUGUAUAAACUGUGACUACAUUUAUAUAAAGUUCAAAAGCAAACAAAACUAAUGCAUGGUAGUCAGGAGACUGGCUACUUUUGGGAGGUAAGGACUGGAUGAUGAUAAUAUUAUAAUGUCCUGUUUCUUAACAUGGGUAGUGAUUUACAUGAUGUAUUCACUUUGUUAAAGUUCAACAAGAUAUAUACUUAUGACUUGUGCACUUUUUGUACGUGAUUUGUGCACUUUGACUUUUUUAGUUGAAAAGUAAGGUGUGAGUGUGCUUCCUUCACAAACCCUUUUCUCCCAGCUGCUUGCAGAUGAUGAUGAGACCAUAGGGGAUGGUGGAGCAAGAGGCUGGGAGGAACCUCAAUCCUUGAGUCACUCAGUGGAGGAAAGCUACCCACGCCCAGGAACAGCCACCUUGACCAAGACCUGGGUUUGGUCCCAGGGAGACCCACAAG